rnacentral:lncRNA from 7 species
AUGGAGAAUGCAGCGCGUGGGACUGACCAACAAACUGCACAGGACGCGCUGCAGGAAGGCAGCCAUCCCACGCUGCCAGUCUGGGACAGAGGAACGCAGACAGCGCCAACGACUGGCAUGCCAGGGAUGAAUGCUGGGAAAAGCACAAAGGCUGCUGUUCACAAAUCUGUGCGAAAGCGCCACAUCGCAGCGAUGGUACUGUUCUCAGCUGUGCUGCUGUCUGCACUGUUGUUGGCCUGUGGUGCUGCGUUAUGGAUGUGCAAAAAAUACCUAGUGUGCAAGAGAGAAGAAAGAGCAGCAGAACGAGCUCUUCCUGAUACCAACUGAGAGAGUGUUCCAGCUGGAGAUGAGGGCAGAACGGAGCUGGGAGAGGCAACAAGAGAGACUCCUGCCCAACCAAACCAGAAUCUCAACAAUAGUUCCAGUCCAUUCCAUUCUACCAUCCAAGAUACCAAAGGUCUUCAAAGUCAUCUGGAAGACCUGGAGCGUGAACUCAAAGAAAAAAGAAGUCCACGGAACAGUCCUGAGUGCUGCUUUCUGUCAGAGGACAGCCCUGAAGCUGAGAGCGGAGAAUCAGCAGCAGAGCCUUUGUCCUUCACCCUGCAUUCUCCAGGACAAGUAUCAGCAAUAAUUCCAAGAUUCUUAGCUCACCAUAGCUACAGUCCUUUUGAGGGUCGUAGUGAGAACCCAGAAAGUGAGCUUCCUCUGACUGCUGGACAGUAUUGUUUAUUGUCUUUGGAGAUGUGGAUGAGGAUGGCUGGUUUCUGGGAGAGCUGACAGAUGGCACAAGAGGACUGGUCCCCUUCCAAUGUGGUUGUGGAAGUUUCCGAUGAUGAACUGGAUACAACGAUGCCUCUAGAGCUUUGUGAUCUCCUGCUGGACACUGAUGAUUAAGUGGAUGCAGAGAUUCCAUAACGCAGCAACAUCCUGUAAAAAUUCCUGCACUGAUUCAUCUACAAGACUACCCCCUGCUCCACUAGAUGUUUCAAGUGGAGUGUGAGCAGGAUGUGGAUCAGCUCCUUCAGGAGCUCUGUGGUGACUGACAGUGUAACUGCAUAGUCUUAUUAUAUAUUAAAAACAAAAAAAAAAAGAACAAAAAAAAACCCAAUAAAACAAACAAACAAAAAACCCAACACUGUUCUUUUUCUUGGAUACAUUGACGAUACUUUUUGUAGCUGAGACUUUGCAAUGAGUCUUGAAGCAGAUUUGAACUGGUAGAAGUUGGCAGUGUCUGCAUUCCGUUCUCCUAAUUUCCUUGCUGGUCGGAGUUAACGUGCCCUGCAUCCGUUCCCCAGCUCCAGCUGCCUCCUGAAUCAUGAGAGCAGCCUUUCCAUAUUGUGAAAACAGCCCUUUUCACAUAGUUGGAGUGGAUUCAUGCUGAAGGACAAGAUGCUUGUGGACAUGUAAGCUCAGGAAAGAAUGUAGAGUCCAUGGAAACUUGCUGCCAAACAACACUAAGAAAGAAGAAUAGACUCCUGUUGUUGAAGAUGGAACAGUAAAACAGAUGCCCCAGCAAAACACAAUGCCAGUACAAGCUGGUUGGGGCUACUCCCCCUGAAAAGGCUGGAAGUUCACAGCGAGGUAGACUACUAGCCCUCAUUCAAUGACUACCAGAGACCCCACCAUGUUUUUAGGACACGUGCUCAAGAGGGUGGGACAAUAUGUUAAUAAUUUCUCAGAUUCCAGCCCAUCUUCAUGGAAUGUAAUGAAUAUAUGUAUGCAAUGUCUUUAAAUACGUAACCAUUGCUUUUCUCGGUGUGAGAGGUGGGAGGAGAUAUCCCCCUUGCAUCUGGUGCCAUAAUGAGCACACCUGGUUUAUGACCUUACGUGAGUUAUGAGUUUGAUUCCACACAUCACUCCCUUCACUAUUAAGAGGACUAAGAACUUUCUGUCACCAGAAGGAUGCCCAU